CCCUUUUCGCUUCCUUGUUUGAUUUACUGCUUCUUCCUCUUUGUUUUUUCCUUUUGAAUUUGACAUGGUUCCGAAUAAUAUUUUGCUACAUUUUCUGUAUGCAUGUAUUAUUGUUUACUCCUUUUGAUCCAGUUGUAAUAAUUUCGGGUGAAGAUUGAUGAACCAAAGGUGUUCCAUGAUAUGCCUGAAACAACUAAAUCAUUAAGUAAGAUUCUUACUUGGGCUGCUGGAUUUGCUUGCAACAACACAGGUUGCUAUUUGUCGGGAAUUUCGACGAACAAUAGGAAAACAUAAGGAUUUUGGAGCUCACAUUUUUCUAGCUAAGGAAACAAAGGCUAUUCUCUUCACUGACAAACGGAAAAAAAUAUUGAGCUUGUAGUAGGGGAAACAAAGCUGAUGAAACUCGAGGUGAGAAAGUGUCACUCAACACCAUCGACCUCAAGCAGCAUGUUGAUCUUCCAUCAGUUAAUGCUUCCCUAUCUCGAAAAUAGUAUCUCUAUUUCGGAGAAGUAGUGGUACUGCCUGUGCACACUCUACCUUCUUCAGAUUCCACGUUGUGAGAUUUCACUAGGAUGAUGAUAAUCCACCUUUGUCAAAUGCUUACAUGACGUCCAAAAAUUUUCAAAUUCUGAAUUUUAUAGUUAUUCUACCAUCUAUUAUUGCGAGAGAUGGGACUUGAGGCUCACUGCAUUAAACAUGAGAAGUGGCUGACAUGUUUGAGCAAGGUGUGGCACCAAAUGCUAUAUCGAGGAUGUCACUAACAUUGAAGAGUUCUCUUACUAUUUUGGAGCUAUUAAUGCAAGGUAAACAAAUGGAUAGGAAACGUGGCAGAAGGCUGAAAUUAGAUAUGUUACAUUUAAAUUUCUUUUUUUCCAGAUUAAGGACAAUCAUGUAAUUUUCCUUUUCCAAUUUCUAUUUUUGCUUGCCGCAUGUUUCCAAAGAUCCACACAGUGGAUCUAAAAACUUCCACAUCUUUUAUUCUCAAAAUCCUACUUUUAUGUUCCAUGAAGAACAACAACCUCAUUUCAUCCCAAUUUUAGAAAGGUUUGCUCCUUACAACAACAAGGAAAGGGUACAUCUCAUUUCCCGUGUUUUCUCUUCAUGGAUAUUAUGGGUUUUCUUUUCAAUCUCAAUUGUUGCUUCUUAGAUUUGCUAAACUUUCUUCUGGUGGUGCGUUUUUGGCUUGAUUUGCUGGGUUUAUGUGUUAUUCAAUGUUUUCUUUUCUAUCCUAAAUUACCACCUUCUACUUGGAGUCAAUUUUUAUUUAUUUUGUUUUUUAAUUUAUGUGUGAACGUCACUUGUUGGAUUUGUGUGCAACAACGCGAGCUGCUAUUUGUUGAGAGUUUCGACGAACAAUAGGAAAACAAAAGGUAUAAGAAUGACCCAGUUGCCCUAGAAAAGUUUAUGUGAAGCAAGAUGUUUUGUUAUUAAUGGACUGAAGUCUUUGGCAUUAAUGAAAUGGUGAAGCAUUGUUCACCAGUGUAGUGUGCACUGUGGAGGUGACUUUUUGAGAAAAGUACAUGUAUUAGGUCUUAACCAUAGAACACCCUUUCCUUUUGACAUUCUGGUCCUACCUUGUGUCAUACAUAGACACAGUGUAGUUUUUGUUCACUAUGCACCGUCUUUUGGUUAUUCCCAUAUAUGUAUUUCUGUUCAGUAUGGAUAGAAGGUUGCAGUAGAUAAACUCACUACAUUUCU